rnacentral:rRNA from 1 species
UUCAUCAGGCUUGAAUACCCUAAAGAUACUAGAUCUUGUCUGAUCUUGAAAGCUAAAUAGAGUCAGGCCUGGUUAGUACUUUGAUGGGAGACUGCCAAUGAAUACCAGAUGUUGUCGGCC